GGGGGGUAUGGAGUCGGGCGGUAACAGGGAGAAGCUUGCUUCUCUGCUGACGAGCGGCGGACGGGUGAGUAAUGUAUGGGGAUCUGCCUGAUGGCGGGGGAUAACUACUGGAAACGGUAGCUAAUACCGCAUAAUGUCUACGGACCAAAGCGGGGGACCUCCGGGCCUCGCGCCAUCAGAUGAACCCAUAUGGGAUUAGCUUGUAGGUGAGGUAACGGCUCACCUAGGCGACGAUCCCUAGCUGGUCUGAGAGGAUGAUCAGCCACACUGGGACUGAGACACGGCCCAGACUCCUACGGGAGGCAGCAGUGGGGAAUAUUGCACAAUGGGCGCAAGCCUGAUGCAGCCAUGCCGCGUGUAUGAAGAAGGCCUUCGGGUUGUAAAGUACUUUCAGUCGGGAGGAAGGUGGUAAGGUUAAUAACCUUAUCAAUUGACGUUACCGACAGAAGAAGCACCGGCUAACUCCGUGCCAGCAGCCGCGGUAAUACGGAGGGUGCAAGCGUUAAUCGGAAUUACUGGGCGUAAAGCGCACGCAGGCGGUUGAUUGAGUCAGAUGUGAAAUCCCCGGGCUUAACCCGGGAAUUGCAUCUGAUACUGGUCAGCUAGAGUCUUGUAGAGGGGGGUAGAAUUCCAUGUGUAGCGGUGAAAUGCGUAGAGAUGUGGAGGAAUACCGGUGGCGAAGGCGGCCCCCUGGACAAAGACUGACGCUCAGGUGCGAAAGCGUGGGGAGCAGACAGGAUUAGAUACCCUGGUAGUCCACGCUGUAAACGAUGUCGACUUGGAGGUUGUGCCCUUGAGGCGUGGCUUCCGGAGCUAACGCGUUAAGUCGACCGCCUGGGGAGUACGGCCGCAAGGUUAAAACUCAAAUGAAUUGACGGGGGCCCGCACAAGCGGUGGAGCAUGUGGUUUAAUUCGAUGCAACGCGGAGAACCUUACCUACUCUUGACAUCCAGAGAACUUGGCAGAGAUGCUUUGGUGCCUUCGGGAACUCUGAGACAGGUGCUGCAUGGCUGUCGUCAGCUCGUGUUGGGAAAUGUUGGGUUAAGUCCCGCAACGAGCGCAACCCUUAUCCUUUGUUGCCAGCGCGUAAUGGCGGGAACUCAAAGGAGACUGCCGGUGAUAAACCGGAAGAAAGGUGGGGAUGACGUCCAGUCAUCAUGGCCCUUACCAAUAG
rnacentral:rRNA from 1 species